AGAGCAUAGGGUGAAUGCCCAUGCACCAGAAGCCGAAGAAGGACGUGGUAAGCUGCGAAAAGCUGCGGAGAGCUGCAAACAAGCUUUGACCCGCAGAUGUCCGAAUGGGGAAACCCACAUGGAGUAAUGUCCAUGUACGCAUACAUGAAUACAUAGUGUAUGAGAGGCACACCCGGGGAACUGAAACAUCUAAGUACCCGGAGGAAGAGAAAGAAAAACCUCGAUUCCCUAAGUAGCGGCGAGCGAACGGGGAAGAGCCCAAACCUAUUGGGGAAACCGAAUAGGGGUUGCGGACCGAUCAACAACGUUCCAAGGAAGUCAGUCGAAGCAGCUGGAAAGCUGAGUCAGAGAAAGUGAAAACCUUGUAGGCGAAGACUAAGUUAGGAACAAGAUCGGAUCCAGAGUACCACGAGGCACGUGAAACCUUGUGGGAAGCAGGGAGGACCACCUCCCAAGGCUAAAUACUAACUGGUGACCUAUAGCGAUUAGUACCGUGAGGGAAAGGUGAAAAGAACCCCGGGAGGGGAGUGAAAUAGAACCUGAAACCCUAUGUUUACAGACUGUGGAAGUGCCUUAAGAGCACGACCGCGUACUUUUUGUAGAACGGACCGGCGAGUUAUGGUAGCAUGCAGGGUUAAGCACUGAAGGUGUGAAGCCGAAGGGAAACCGAGUCCUAAGAGGGCGUAAUAGUAUGUUGCUGUAGACCCGAAACCAGGUGACCUAUCCAAGUGCAGGGUGAAGUUGGAGUAAAAUCCAUUGGAGGCCCGAACCCACUGCUGUUGAAAAAGUAGGGGAUGACGUUUGGAUAGAGGUGAAAUGCCAAUCGAACCUGGAGAUAGCUGGUUCUCCCCGAAAUAGCUUUAGGGCUAGCCUCGGGAUAUAAGCCAUGGAGGUAGAGCACUGAACGGGCUAGGGGGCCAACAAGCUUACCGAACCCUAUCAAACUCCGAAUGCCAUGGAAUUUUAAGCCCGGGAGUCAGACUAUGUGAGAUAAGUUUCAUAGUCAAAAGGGAAACAGCCCAGACCAACGGCUAAGGUCCCCAAGUACAGGUUAAGUGGAAAAGGAUGUGGAAUUGCGCAGACAACCAGGAUGUUGGCUUAGAAGCAGCCACACAUUCAAAGAGUGCGUAAUAGCUCACUGGUCGAGUGAUUCCGCGCCGAAAAUGUCCGGGGCUAAAACCUGUCACCGAAGCUUUGGCAUACAGAGGAAACUCUGGAUGGGUAGGGGAGCAUUGUAUUAGGGCAGAAGCCUGACCGUGAGGACAGGUGGACAUAAUACAAGAGAGAAUGCCGGUAUAAGUAGCGAGAGGGUGGUGAGAAUCCACCCCGUCGAAAACCUGAGGUUUCCUGAGGAAGGUUCGUCCACUCAGGGAUAGUCGGGACCUAAGCUGAGGGCGAAAGCCGUAGGCGAUGGACAAUCGGUUGAUAUUCCGAUACCACCUAUAUGCGUUAAGGACAAGCAGUGACACAGGAGGAUGACUGAAGCGGGUUGAUGGUAGAGCCCGUCCAAGCAACGAGUCUUAAGAGCGAGUGAAGCACCGUUCUUUAUAAGGGCGAGAUGUGAAGGGGACCGAAAUUAAGUAGGGAAGUCAGGUAAGUCACACUGGCAAGAAAAGCUGCUAAUCAGCAUGUGGGUGCCCGUACCGCAAACCGACACAGGUAGGUGAGGAGAGAAUCCUAAGACGAGCGGGAUAACCCUUGUUAAGGAACUCGGCAAAAUUACCCCGUAACUUCGGGAUAAGGGGGGCCGCGAGAGCGGCAGCAUGAAAUAGGCCCAAGCGACUGUUUAGCAAAAACACAGGUCUCUGCCAACUCGAAAGAGGAAGUAUAGGGGCUGACGCCUGCCCAGUGCUGGAAGGUUAAGGGGAGAUGUGAGAGCAUUAAACCGAAGCCCCAGUGAACGGCGGCCGUAACUAUAACGGUCCUAAGGUAGCGAAAUUCCUUGUCGGGUAAGUUCCGACCCGCACGAAUGGCGUAACGACUUGGGCGCUGUCUCAACAAGGGACCCGGCGAAAUUGGAGUGCCAGUGAAGAUACUGGCUACCCGCGAUUGGACGGAAAGACCCCGUAGAGCUUUACUGUAGCCUGAUACUGGACAUUGGUAGUGGAUGUACAGGAUAGGUGGGAGGCUGGGAAGCAUGUGCGUCAGCAUGUGUGGAGCCAACCUUGGGAUACCACCCUUUCAGUACCGGUGUUCUAACCGCAAGCCAUGAGCUGGCAGCGGGACAAUGUCAGGUGGGCAGUUUGACUGGGGCGGUCGCCUCCCAAAGAGUAACGGAGGCGCCCAAAGGUUCCCUCAGAAUGGUUGGAAAUCAUUCGUAGAGUGUAAAGGCAGAAGGGAGCCUGACUGCGAGAGCUACAACUCGAGCAGGGACGAAAGUCGGGCUUAGUGAUCUGGCGGUAUCGAGUGGAAGAGCCGUCACUUAACGGAUAAAAGCUACCUCGGGGAUAACAGGCUGAUCUCCCCCAAGCGUCCACAGCGACGGGGAGGUUUGGCACCUCGAUGUCGGCUCGUCGCAUCCUGGGGCUGAAGUAGGUCCCAAGGGUUUGGCUGUUCGCCAAUUAAAGCGGCACGCGAGCUGGGUUCAGAACGUCGUGAGACAGUUCGGUCCCUAUCCAUCGCGGGCGUAGG
rnacentral:rRNA from 1 species